rnacentral:rRNA from 1 species
AAGCUCAAAUUUGAAAUCUGAGGCUCUCCAGCCCCCGAGUUGUAAUUUGAAGAUGGUGUUCUGGUGCCGGCGCCCUGUCUACGUUCCUUGGAACAGGACAUCGCAGAGGGUGAGAAUCCCGUGUGGCGGGGCGGCCUGGCUCCGUGUAGAGCGCCAUCGACGAGUCGAGUUGUUUGGGAAUGCAGCUCUAAGUGGGUGGUAAAUUCCAUCUAAAGCUAAAUAUUGGCGAGAGACCGAUAGCGAACAAGUACAGUGAUGGAAAGAUGAAAAGAACUUUGAAAAGAGAGUGAAAAAGUACGUGAAAUUGUUGAAAGGGAAGGGUAUUGGAUCAGACUUGGUGCUGUGCGAAUAGCGGCUCUUCCUGGGCCGCCCCACUCGCACUCCACCGGGCCAGCAUCGGUUUGGGCGGCAAGACAAUGGCGGGGGAACGUGGCACUGCUCUCGGGCAGUGUGUUUAUAGCCCCCGCUGAUGUUGCCUGCCUAGACCGAGGACUGCGGCUUCUGCCUAGGAUGCUGGCGUAAUGAUCCAACACCGCCCGU